GGCGGCGUAGCUCAGCUGGUUAGAGCGCACGACUCAUAAUCGUGGGGGGGGGGGAUCGAGCCCCCCCGCCGCUAC
rnacentral:tRNA from 1 species